AGGCCUUGCGCUCAUUGAGCGGCCGAUAUCAGAUUAGCUAGUUGGUGGGGUAAAAGCUCACCAAGGCGACGAUCUGUAGCGGGUCUGAGAGGAUGAUCCGCCACACUGGAACUGAGACACGGUCCAGACUCCUACGGGAGGCAGCAGUGGGGAAUUUUGGACAAUGGGGGCAACCCUGAUCCAGCCAUGCCGCGUGAGUGAAGAAGGCCUUCGGGUUGUAAAGCUCUUUCAGCCGGGAAGAAAACGCAUGGGUCAAUACCCUGUGUGGAUGACGGUACCGGAAUAAGAAGCACCGGCUAACUACGUGCCAGCAGCCGCGGUAAUACGUAGGGUGCGAGCGUUAAUCGGAAUUACUGGGCGUAAAGCGUGCGCAGGCGGUUUUGUAAGACAGGCGUGAAAUCCCCGGGCUUAACCUGGGAACUGCGUUUGUGACUGCAAGGCUAGAGUACGGCAGAGGGGGGUGGAAUUCCACGUGUAGCAGUGAAAUGCGUAGAGAUGUGGAGGAACACCAAUGGCGAAGGCAGCCCCCUGGGUCGAUACUGACGCUCAUGCACGAAAGCGUGGGUAGCAGACAGGAUUAGAUACCCUGGUAGUCCACGCCCUAAACGAUGUCAACUAGGUGUUGGGUGGGUAAAACCAUUUAGUACCGGAGCUAACGCGUGAAGUAGACCGCCUGGGGAGUACGGCCGCAAGGUUAAAACUCAAAGGAAUUGACGGGGACCCGCACAAGCGGUGGAUGAUGUGGAUUAAUUCGAUGCAACGCGAAAAACCUUACCUACCCUUGACAUGUCAGGAACUUGCCAGAGAUGGCUUGGUGCUCGAAAGAGAACCUGAACACAGGUGCUGCAUGGCUGUCGUCAGCUCGUGUCGUGGGAUGUUGGGUUAAGUCCCGCAACGAGCCCAACCCUUGUCGUUAAUCGCCAUCAUUUAGUUGGGCACUUUAACGAGACUGCCGGUGACAAACCGGAGGAAGGUGGGGAUGACGUCAAGUCCUCAUGGCCCUUAUGGGUAGGGCUUCACACGUCAUACAAUGGUCGGUACAAAGGGUCGCCAACCCGCGAGGGGGAGCCAAUCCCAUAAAGCCGAUCGUAGUCCGGAUUGCAGGCUGCAACUCGCCUGCAUGAAGUCGGAAUCGCUAGUAAUCGUGGAUCAGCAUGUCACGGUGAAUACGUUCCCGGGUCUUGUACACACCGCCCGUCACACCAUGGGAGCGGGUUCCGCCAGAAGUAGGUAGCCUAACCGCAAGGGGGGCGCUUACCACGGCGGGGUUCGUGACUGGGGUGAAGUCGGAACAAGGUA
rnacentral:rRNA from 1 species